rnacentral:rRNA from 1 species
GUGAGGAAUAUUGGACAAUGGGCGCAAGCCUGAUCCAGCCAUGCCGCGUGCAGGAAGACGCAUCUAUGGUGUGUAAACUGCUUUUGUACGGGAAGAAACACUCCCUCGUGAGGGAGCUUGACGGUACCGUAAGAAUAAGGAUCGGCUAACUCCGUGCCAGCAGCCGCGGUAAUACGGAGGAUCCAAGCGUUAUCCGGAAUCAUUGGGUUUAAAGGGUCCGUAGGCGGUUUAAUAAGUCAGUGGUGAAAGCCCAUCGCUCAACGAUGGAACGGCCAUUGAUACUGUUAGACUUGAAUUACAAGGAAGUAACUAGAAUAUGUAGUGUAGCGGUGAAAUGCUUAGAUAUUACAUGGAAUACCAAUUGCGAAGGCAGGUUACUACUUGUGGAUUGACGCUGAUGGACGAAAGCGUGGGGAGCAAACAGGAUUAGAAACCCUGGUAGUCC